rnacentral:lncRNA from 1 species
GAACUCCCUAUGUAGACCAGACUGGGCUCAAACUGUCACAGAGAUCUGCCCGCCUCUUCCUCUGCGCCACCAAUGACUGGCUAAGAAAUUUAAGAGGUUGUCUCUGACAAUUGACUAACUUUCAUGUAGACAUUGUCCUUCUGUUUUCUUUGUUUGUUUUAUUUUGUUCUUUGUUUUUUUUUUGAGACAGGGUUUCUCUGUGUAGACCAGGCUGGCCUUGAAUUCACAAAGAUGCACCUGCCUCUGCCUCCUACGUGCUGGGAUUAAAGGCCUGGGCCACCACUCAAUGGCUGACAUUUGUUCUUCAACUUUACUCAGUGUAAUGGUUAUUAUAGAGUAACUAGGAUAUAGACUCAUCUGGUGUCCAAGCUUCAUAGCAUGCCUAGGAGGGGUUACCUAGAUUGGGUUUCCUAGAUUGGUUAACUGAGGUGGGAAGACCCACAUAUAAAUAUUGGUGACACCAUUCUAUUGGUGUAACAUAAAAAAAUAAAUGACUCAGAGGCUGAUACUGGGGUUCAAACUUCAAGCUGAGUAUCAGAAAAGCAAAGCAGCUGGCCACUAGCUUCUUAGGUUUACCUCAGGCUGAUCCUGUCUCCAGGAUCUCUCACCAAGCCUCAAACUGUAACCUCUCCUCAGUGUGGCUGGAGAAUGAAUCAAUCCCUGAGACCUUGCUUCUGUUUUAUAUACUUCCCUAAUGUUGGGAUCAAGGUGUGAGCUAUUUCUCGUUUAGGACUCACCGAUAAUGUGUCUAUCUCUUAAUCCUGAGUCCUAGGAUUAAAGGUGUGUACCAUCACCUCCUAGCUUCUGGUUGCUGAGAUUAAAGGUAUGUGCCUGGCUUCUAUGGCUUGUGGCUGACUGCUUUCUGAAUUCCCAGGCAAGCUUUAAUAAAUCAUAAAUAAUAUCUCACCACACAUGGUUUCAAGUCUGGGCCAAAUAAAGAAAGACUGAUCGCUAGCAUUCAUGGUUUUCUGCUUCCGGAUUGUGGAUGUCAUAUAUUCCACCAGCCGCCUUAAGUUCCUGCCACUGUGAUUUCCCUGCUGUGAUGGACUGUAGGCAUCAACUGUAAACCAAAAUAAACUCUUCUACAAAGUGAGUUCCAGGACAGCCAGGGCUGUGAAACCCUGUCUCAAAAAAGGAAGAAAAAGAGACAAAAUAAACUCUUCAGCUGCCCCCCCCACACACACAAGGCUCCUGCCUCAGAAUCCUGCCCUUACUUCCUUCAGUGAUGAACAGCAAUGUUGAAAUGUAAGCCAAAUAAACCCUUUCCUCCCUAAC